UGAACUUCUCAGAUGGCUUUGGGAAAUUAUACAAAAAGAUGUUUAUGCAAGUGAAAAUAAUCCAGUUCUACUAACUUGCUACGACGGAGCAACUGCAUGUGGUCUUUUUGCUGCAAUGGCAUUCGUCAUAGAAAAAAUGAAGUUGGAACAGGAAUGUGAUGUUCCUUUAGCAAUUAGAACUAUUCGAAAACAUCGAAAGGAAUUUAUAAAUCACGAGGAACAAUAUACCUACUUAUUCGAAGCUGCUUU